rnacentral:rRNA from 1 species
AACGUAGGACACAAGCGUUAUCCGGAGUUACUGGGCGUAAAGGGCGUGCAGGCGGUUUGUUAAGUCUAGGGUGAAAGCUCCCGGCUCAACUGGGAGAGGUCCUUGGAUACUGGCCGACUUGAGGGAGGCAGAGGAGAGUGGAAUUCCCGGUGUAGUGGUGAUAUGCGUAGAUAUCGGGAGGAACACCAGUGGCGAAGGCGGCUCUCUGGGCCUUACCUGACGCUGAGACGCGAAAGCGUGGGGAGCGAACCGG